rnacentral:rRNA from 1 species
UACGUAGGCAGCAAGCGUUGUUCGGAAUUACUGGGCGUAAAGAGUGUGUAGGCGGUGCUCUAAGUUCGGUGUGAAAUCUCCCCGGCUUAACUGGGAGGGUGCGCCGGAAACUGGAGUGCUUGAGCGCGGGAGAGGAAAGCGGAAUUCCUGGUGUAGCGGUGAAAUGCGUAGAUAUCAGGAGGAACACCUGUGGUGUAGACGGCUUUCUGGACCGUAGCUGACGCUGAGACACGAAAGCGUGGGUAGCAAACAGG